CACACCAAGGAGAGAGCACUUGUCUUCCUGCCCCUCACAUUUAUUUUGUGUGCCUGAGUUCUUCGGAUGGUCUGUUUUUAAGGAUCUUCAGGGUGCUGGCGCCCAAAUGAACCCGAUUUCUUUCCUAGUAACUUUUAUUUCCCACGUACUGGCUUUCAAGCAGCAGGAAGAUGCACUCAGCUCAGUAACAAAUCUGCAGCCCAUAUAAGCAAAGACUGCGGCACACGUGAAAAGCCAGAGAGAGUGAAUGUGGAUGAGGAAAGAGAAGGGUAGGAGGAAGGCAGACCAGCCAGAGACAGAAAGCGAAACAGAGCUCUGAGACACGGCCUGCUACCGAAACGCCGAGCAGGCAUGGCGGGAGUGGAUGUGGUGGUGGAUUCAGAUGCACGAGGUAUGCAGAAGUAGGCAACGUCCUCACUGCCAUGAAAUCCUAGUUUCUGCUGAGCUCCAUCUAAAUAGAAGCACCCUAGGACAAAAAUUAGAAUGCUGCCACAGGUAUCUUCUAAAGACAACUUCAGAUACUCAUAUGCUUUAUUUCUAUGAAGUUCCCCGACA